CCCAACAAUGAAACAAAUGAUGUUGAAAAGUCAAUCUAUGUCAUGAUCGAUCAAGCACUGAGGUCGAACCUUGUUAGACGGAGUGAAUAGGAAAACAGGCUUCAAUGGUUAGACCCUGGUUUCUUAUAACAUGAAGGAGAAUCUAAUUAGCCAUGCUUGAAAGAAACAAGAGGAAAGUGAUGCCCCAUUGUUAUUUCUAAUUUUAUAAGAUAGCUAAAUAAUAGUUCACUUGUUUCAAGAACACAUUUCAGGUGCUAAAUAAUCUGAUAUGCUACAUAUUUGUAUUGUAAUGAUAUGGCUUAAUCGCUGCCGUGAUACAUUUGAUUGCCUCACCGCGCAACUUGAGCAAAGCAUUAGUCUUAGAUUUGAGAAGAUUGCACAAGGUCUAACUUUGGUCUAUUUGGCCAUGGGCCCGCUGCCGAUGAGUAAUGUUCCUUGAGUAUGCAAUAUCAAGUGUUGAGUGCUAGUUGCAUCAAUCAUUGAUAAAUAUGUUAGAUUGCAUAGGAGGGGGAAAAGUAAACUGAAUGAUUCCAAACACUUAAUCUUAAUGAAAACUUUGGGGGAGGGCUGGUUUUCAAUAGUAAAUUGGAAUGACUGUUUUUGCUACUCAAGAUAAUCCUGGUUGGCCUCAAGGAUGGAAACUAUUUCUGGUAGACAAACAAAGCAGAAAAGAACAAACUGAAGGUUUUUGUUGGCAACAUGCGGGAUGAACCAAGCAUGCCAGCAGACUGGCCAGUAAUAACUAAAGGUAAUGUGGGUACUGUCUAGCGAGCUGAAUGAAGAUACAGGCCUGGUAAGGUAUUAGUGGAGAGGUCAAAUCUAGCAAUUCAGGAUUGAUUCCCCUUGACCAGUCAAAAUUUGCCAUGUCUGCUGUCUUGGACGAAUAAGAAGCUACCACAUUAAAGCCAGGAUCCUCUGAGAUUCUUCGAUGUUUGCAAUCAAAUAAGUCACGAUGAUCCAAAUCAAGCUAAGCAUGGAAUGGCCGUGUCAAGGAGGGUGAUUGGCAGGAUGACGUCUCCAAAAGAUCCUUUGAAAUCCCUUCUAGAUCCUGUGAACUGAACAUUCUCAGUUGACUGGAGUUGCUCAAAAGUGGUGGAAUAGAUUAAAAAAAAACACAUGCAGAUUGACGUUUAAGUAGUGGAUAUUGCACAUUCUCAUGGAAGUUGCUCAUUAUUAAAACAAAAAUAAAUAAAACAACAAGAAAAAC